GGCUGUGUGGUAUAGUGGUCGUACAGGCUCUCUGUAAGUGCAUGCGGUUUUUAAAAGUUACCGAAAGGUGGCGCCCCUAGUAUGAGCGGUUCUGGCCCCGGUUCGAUUCCGGGCUUAGUUG